UGCAUGAUUGCCCUGAAAGAGAAUGGGAGAUAUAUUGAGGAAAUAGUACUACACAAGUCACCCUUGUCCAAGCAAACCAAACCUUUCUAGUUUAUAAACCCCCUCUAUUUCUUUCCAACCUUUCACCUAACGUGAACCAAACCCCACUAUUUUUCUUCUUCUCCAAAUGGGGUGGUUUAAGUCCCUCCUCUCCCCAUUGAAGAAAAUCUGGGAUCGUCUGCAUUCAAGCAACAGAAAUCGCAGAGGAAUUUAUAUCUUGUACAAGGAUGUGAAGUCUUGCCCAUGCGAAGAUGUGCAAGUCCUAUGGUCAAUACUGGUCGAGUCACAUUCACAUACACCUCCUUUGCCAUCAACUUGAUGAAGCUGUCUUUCUUGCCCUAUAGAAAACCAUAAAAGAGGACGAUUUCACUUCAUGUACAUAUAUAAAUACUACAUUAUACUCAUGAGAAACCCAUUUACUUUUUGCUGUUUGGCUGAUAAUUAUGAGCCUUAUGUACCUUUUUACACUUUUUGUAUAUGCUGCUUUUCAUAAUUAAAAGCUUUCUUUUGAUAAA